rnacentral:rRNA from 1 species
AUUCCAGCUCCAAUAGCGUAUAUUAAAGUUGUUGCAGUUAAAAAGCUCGUAGUUGAACUUUGGGCCCGGUUGGCCGGUCCGAUUUUUUCGUGUACUGGAUUUCCAACGGGGCCUUUCCUUCUGGCUAACCUUGAGUCCUUGUGGCUCUUGGCGAACCAGGACUUUUACUUUGAAAAAAUUAGAGUGUUCAAAGCAGGCCUACGCUCUGAAUACAUUAGCAUGGAAUAACGCGAUAGGACUCUGGUCUUAUUGUGUUGGUCUUCGAGACCGGAGUAAUGAUUAAGAGGGACAGUUGGGGGCAUUCGUAUUUCAUUGUCAGAGGUGAAAUUCUUGGAUUUAUGAAAGACGAACUUCUGCGAAAGCAUUUGCCAAGGAUGUUUUCAUUG